UUCAAUCACUAAACAACAACAAUAACAAGAAUGUUUCCUUUAGUGGCGAAAAUGUUAUUAUCAGAGAUGAUUUAGCAUCAGGAAUUGCAAUGUCUGAGCCUCCAAGACAAUCAAAAUUUAAGUCUCAACCAAUGCCAAAAGGAGUUGCUUUCCAACAAGAUGGUUCUCAAACUAGAAAGGCUAAUCGUAAUCAUAAUCAACCUGGAAUAAAGAUGUUUAGAGAUAAGAGAUUUGACUCGUUCAAAACAUGGUCUGGUGGUGGACUCGAGAGACAAUUAUCGAUUCUACGUGGAAAAGAACCGAUUGGAAAUGCACAAGAUGGUAACAACGCUACAAGAAGCUUUGAUAGGGCUUUACCUGUUGAUAGGUAUUUUGAUGCAUUGGAAGGUCCAGAAUUAGAAACUCUUAAGGUAAGUGAUUUGGUUACAUUCAUCAACAAACUCAUAUUCAAGAUUUUAUGCUUUUACUCAUUGAAGAUUAUAACAUAUUUUGUUUUUCCUCUUACAACAGUCAUCAGAAGAGAUAAUGCUACCUCAUGACAAACAAUGGCCGUUUCUUCUCCGGUUCCCCGUUUCAUCAUUCGGUAUAUGCCUCGGAGUUAGCAGCCAAGCAAUUCUUUGGAAAACCCUAGCCACAUCACCUACCACUGAAUUCAUGACCAUAAGAAAUGAUAUAUUGAUAGCUAGCUAUGUUAUAUUGCAUUUAUGACAAUAACCAAAUUAAUAAAUAUUAUAAAUUUUCCUGGAGUUGAUUUUAAGAACUGGAAUUUCACAUUUUGGAAGUAAUUUUUUCUCCUUCUGGGGAGAGUUAGAGGAAAAAACUUUUCCAGGUUUUUGUUUUGUUUUAGAUUAGUUUUCCCCUUUCUUAAACCCUUCUGGUGCCGGCUCAUCAAUCGAACUACCUACAUGAGUACUUUCUUGUGUUAGUUAGCUAUAGCUAACAUGAAUCUUUAAUCAAAUGUUAAUUAUGAUUUUGACUAAUGAAAUGUUAAUUAUGAUUCAUAAUUUAUGCCUUUUAGAUUUUCUUAGAAUGGGUGUGCAUGCUUAAACACAAGACAUUGUUUGUUUCUAUCAAAAGAAAAAAGAUUUUUUUGAAGAAAGUUGAUGAAUGUGAUUCUUGUUGUAGUUGGUUUUAAAGUUGUUUGUAGUUUGUUAUUUGUCUUACAUUGAGUGUAUAAAUAUGUCUGAGUAUCCAUAUCCUUUGAGCUAGUUUUUAGGAUCAGAUCUAACUCUAUUUAACAAUUUCAUAUGUACAAGAUUACUAUAAAAAAAUUGUACUUUUAAGAAAAUUUUAGUGGUUAGUUUUUGUUUGUACUAUGUGAUUCUUUGAAUUGAUUCUAUUGUAACACAACUUUUUGUUUCUAUAUUUUUCAGGUUUAGCAGCAUGGAAAAUCACAUAACUCUUGAAAUCAUAGAACAAGCUUCUCCACCAGAAACUCCAUCACUAAUAAAGUAUAUAUCAUCAAAUGAACUUGAAGAUUUUGAUGAAUUUGAUUCUGAAUUUCCCAGCCCAAUUUCCAAAGUAAGACUCCUUUUUAAGUCAUUUUUAUUGCUUCUAAUAAAAUUUAAAAUGCCUAUAUCAUUUUAGAACUUAUGACAUGUCCAUACAUCUUAUUAUCAUAAAAUAUUUGGGAUAACUUAUGAGAACAGCUUAUAUCUUGCAUAAAAUUUGUUUGACCUUACUUUCUCUUUAUAGAAAUAUGGUAUCUUUCGAUUGCUUAUUUUGACUUAUUUCCUGACAUAAGCACUUGUGAGACUGUUUGACGCAAUUUAUAUAAACAGCUUAUGACAUGUUCAUAAAUUAAUUUCUUCUUUUUUCAGUAGCCUCUUAAAAAUAGCUUAUGAAACCAACUUAUAGCGUAUAUGAAAAUAAAUUAACUUUAUUUUAUCUUUUGUUAUAGAAUUAUCUUAUAUAUAAGCACUUAUAUGUAAGCGCUUAAUUAAGGUCUUUAUCCAAACAAGACCUUGUGACAUAACUAAAAUCUAACUUUUUUUUCAUGUAUUUUCAAUAGGAAAGUGAAGAAACAUACAAUCAUCAAAGAAAGCCUUCAAUUUCUGUUAGCAUGCCACUUUGUUAUAAAGAAACUCAACUUCAAUCACUAAACAACAACAAUAACAAGAAUGUUUCCUUUAGUGGCGAAAAUGUUAUUAUCAGAGAUGAUUUAGCAUCAGGAAUUGCAAUGUCUGAGCCUCCAAGACAAUCAAAAUUUAAGUCUCAACCAAUGCCAAAAGGAGUUGCUUUCCAACAAGAUGGUUCUCAAACUAGAAAGGCUAAUCGUAAUCAUAAUCAACCUGGAAUAAAGAUGUUUAGAGAUAAGAGAUUUGACUCGUUCAAAACAUGGUCUGGUGGUGGACUCGAGAGACAAUUAUCGAUUCUACGUGGAAAAGAACCGAUUGGAAAUGCACAAGAUGGUAACAACGCUACAAGAAGCUUUGAUAGGGCUUUACCUGUUGAUAGGUAUUUUGAUGCAUUGGAAGGUCCAGAAUUAGAAACUCUUAAGGUAAGUGAUUUGGUUACAUUCAUCAACAAACUCAUAUUCAAGAUUUUAUGCUUUUACUCAUUGAAGAUUAUAACAUAUUUUGUUUUUCCUCUUACAACAGUCAUCAGAAGAGAUAAUGCUAC
rnacentral:lncRNA from 1 species